rnacentral:lncRNA from 1 species
UGACGCGGGGAGGCGGGAGCGGGAGGCGGCGCUGCGUCACCCGGUCUUGGUCUCCUGGCGGCUAGCAAGAGUCCUGCAGGCCUAGGGAACCGGAGUUGCUGCUCUUGAUGCAGCUUAACAUGGGACAAGCUGAACAUAUCCACCUCAGGGAGGUCUUCCUGGACUCCGUCUCCCCCAGCCAAAGCAUCCCAAGACACAGCAGGGCAAAAUUCAGCACUGCACUCAUUGCAUAUCUACCCAUCUUUGUGAAAAUUCCAUGGGCAUGUGGGCUUGUCCCUUACUGGGUCUCCAGUGUCUAAAAUGGUCUCUGUGCAUAAUGUGUUACUCAGAUAUUGGUUGCGUGAUAGCAUCUGUUCACAUCUGACCAAGGAAGAGUCUCCUCGGAGAUGCUAACUGGUCCAAGAGUGCAGGGCUCUGUGGUGUGACA